CACNAGGAACACCAACAUCAGGUGGCCUCAGUACUGGCAGUAUCCUUCUAAUCAUAUUUUUUCCUUUGCUUCUUAUGUACCUCAUCAUCGGAAUGUUGAUAAACCGUUAUGGCCGUGGAAUACAGAGCAUGCCUGAAUUACUACCAAAUCAUUCCUUCUGGGCCGACUUUCCCUUUCUUGUUAAGGAUGGAGUUGUAUUCACUUGUGGCUGUAUCAAGGGUGUGUGUUCUUCCCUUUAUCGGAAAUGCAAUAAAGACGGGUACGCCGAGAUAUAGGGAGAGAUUUCUAGUUUUGUUCCCGGAAAGACAUGGAUGCCUUUAACUUUGCAGUCCCUCAAUUUUUCAGUCUCUGGUGAUAAUAUUAAAUUAACAGAUAGAUUCCAUGUUGCCGCGCGUCUGUUCAGUAAUUGGUGGCACACGAUCGAUGUGACUGACACUUUUACCACCUUUGGACAUCAUCUGUGAUCAAUUACUAAACAGACAUACGGCAACAUAGAAUCUACUUGUUCUGUAUAACAAAGAAACCAAAAAAUGUAAAUGACGCCGUUUAUUUACUUCUGUAAGAUAUUGGAGGAGAAUAGUAAAAUGCGAGAAUGAUUAGAUAUAUUUUGCAAUGGAAUUUUAUCAUGGAAAACGUCAUAAUAUAUAUCAUUAUGUUAAAUUCUCAAACCCUUAGGAAGUCUUAUUAGUGUUACAAUGUGAGAACGUUAAUAAGAACUUUUAUGUUGAGAUCUUAAGGGACUUAUGUAGGAAUUUGAAAAUUAUCGCACAAGAAUGUUUUUGCUAGUAACACUCUGAUUUGUACUGUAUCUGUAACAUAUUACACAUUGUUUGAAACUUGUUAUACAAGGUAGAAAGGUUAACUUCCCUGACAUACCAUAAAUUGCUGGAGACUUUAUACAAAGCAGAAACGUGAAAUACAAUUCCCGGCACAGCUAUGGGGGCAUCCUUGCUGACGUCACAGCUUACAUUUUGCCUCACAUCAUGCUCUUUGGUGUACUAUUCAAGGAGAAAUUGCCUUUCAUAAACUGUAAAAUGUGUUGGUGGCAAAAGCACUAAUGUUGUCAUACUAUCUUUGUAAAUUUCCAGUUUCUAAACCCGCGUCGUACAAAAAGCAUUAACACAUUGUGUUCAGAUUCCUUGGCAGAGUUAUUCGUGUCAUGACCUUUCAACAUUCAGAUCCAAGUUUUAUUUUUGUAGCUCCAUCAGCAACUGAAUUGCUUAUGUUAAUGAGGCAAAUGUUGCAAGCAAAGAUUCCCCUAUAGGUUUGAAUACAUGUAUCUUUGUUGGCGCUAUGCCUUUCUCUCCUUUCCCUCCUUUGUUAGGUGUUUUGAAACGUUGAAGGGAGCGAGAGAGAAAGUGCCCAACUAAUUGUAUCUGAGAUCGUAGCCUUUAUUUCUUGCAUGUGUCAAUACAGUGUGUCGUUUGUAAUA